rnacentral:rRNA from 1 species
GACGAACGCUGGCGGCGUGCUUAACACAUGCAAGUCGAGCGAUGAAGCUUCUUCGGAAGUGGAUUAGCGGCGGACGGGUGAGUAACACGUGGGUAACCUGCCUCAUAGAGGGGAAUAGCCUUCCGAAAGGAAGAUUAAUACCGCAUAAGAUUGUAAUAUCGCAUGAUAUAGCAAUUAAAGGAGCAAUCCGCUAUGAGACGGACCCGCGUCGCAUUAGCUAGUUGGUGAGGUAACGGCUCACCAAGGCGACGAUGCAUAGCCGACCUGAGAGGGUGAUCGGCCACAUUGGGACUGAAACACGGCCCAGACUCCUACGGGAGGCAGCAGUGGGGAAUAUUGCACAAUGGGGGAAACCCUGAUGCAGCAACGCCGCGUGAGUGAUGACGGUCUUCGGAUUGUAAAGCUCUGUCUUUAGGGACGAUAAUGACGGUACCUAAGGAGGAAGCCACGGCUAACUACGUGCCAGCCGCCGCAGUAA